rnacentral:rRNA from 1 species
GUUGAGAGAGUUAUGCGCUAUCUGAAAGGUACUAUGAACUAUGGACUUCACUAUACCGGAUACCCUUCGGUACUUGAAGGGUAUAGUGAUGCGAAUUGGAUCUCUGAUGCUGAUGAGAUGAAGGCCACAACUGGGUAUAUGUUUACUCUUGGAGGUGGCGCUGUUUCCUGGAAGUCUUGCAAGCAAACGAUCUUAACGAGAUCGACAAUGGAAGCAGAAUUAACGGCAUUAGACACAUCUGGUGUUGAAGCGAGAUGGCUUCGAGAUCUUUUGAUGGACUUGCCAUUGGUUGAUAAACCGGUUCCGGCUAUCCUUAUGAACUGUGACAAUCAGACUGUCAUCACUAAGGUG